UACGUAGGGGGCGAGCGUUGUCCGGAUUUAUUGGGCGUAAAGAGCUCGUAGGCGGUUUGUUGCGUCGGCUGUGAAAUCCCGAGGCUCAACCUCGGGUCUGCAGUCGAUACGAGCAAACUAGAGUGUUGCAGGGGAGACUGGAAUUCCUGGUGUAGCGGUGAAAUGCGCAGAUAUCAGGAGGAACACCGGUGGCGAAGGCGGGUCUCUGGGCAACAACUGACGCUGAGGAGCGAAAGCGUGGGGAGCGAACAGG
rnacentral:rRNA from 1 species